GUGGAGGACCUGAAUCCCAGGCAGAGGACCCACAACACAACUGCCUGCCACGAACUGACUUAACACGUCCAGGAUCCUUGUUCCUUGGAGAGUGGCAAAUAUAGACAAGACUGAGGCGCGGAAAUAUCUUCUUGACAACUAAAACCAUACUUACAGAGACAUCUUACCCUGUGCUGUCAAAAAUGACAGCACUGUAAUUAUCCUCCUGAAUUCUGUCCUCAACAGACAAUACACCAUUCUGCGCUCUGUUAGUCUCUGGCAGAAGGAAGCUCUCUCAAACAGGAUUCCCCUUUCUGGAGAUAUGGAGGUCCACCCUGUCCCAGAGAAAAAGUAGCUCUGGGGCCCUUAGCUGAAGAUGUGCAUGCAAGCCCUGUGCAAACCUGAUUUACAUUGCAAAAUAAACAGACAAGCACAAGUGUGAGGACCAGGCUACCACCACAAGCUUACCACCAGCAUUUCCUUUGGGGCUACCACAGAGUAACUCUGAAGGCAAAAGUCAUUGGUGACAGGGCCAGAAGGAGAGAAAGAAGAGUGGAGGAAAAGCUAAAGAGCCAUGCUAUCAACUCACGGACAUAUACAGGACAGCAGCGGAAUCAGGAGAUUUCUAGGAACAGUACAUUUUGCUUGUGUUGCUGAACUGUUGCCCACUGGAAUGCUUAUGAACAAAGAUUUGAAGAACCCAUUUGCUAUUGUAUUUACCAAGCUAGGUGUAUCCAGAUUCUGGGUAAUGAAAUCUCCUCAUUUACAGUACAAAAAAUAAAAACCCAAAUGCUUUGUUUGC
rnacentral:lncRNA from 7 species